CCCAAGCUAAAAGAUGUGGCAUCAGGAGUGUCCUGCAGACGAUCGGGAUGGGAUAUUGGAGUUGAGUUCCUCACUGAUUUUGUGGUGAUAAAGACCCAGGGUAUGGUAUACCUUCAGUGCUUCAUGCCAUGUCCCGGGCAUAUAAAGGAUGCUCGUGUGAUCCCAAAGGCAAACUCUGCUUAGAACCUAGAUCCCUGAGCAUACAACUGAAGAGCUACUUUAGAGACCCUCUGGAUAAGCAGAACCCUUGCACAGUACAGCUCAACCAAAGGGGUAGGAUGGAAACGUGGACUGAGUGGCCAUAUGCAAAGUGAGGUCAUUUGUUCAGCACCUCAACCACGUGAACCAUGGCUUAAGAAUCAGGAAAUAAGAGUCUGAAUCGCCAAAUUACAGACCCAAAGUCCAUGCACCACGAUCAUCUAUUUCAUAAAAGAGGUAAGACUGAUACUAUCUCAACUGUGGUGAGAAAGUCCACAUGAGAAAUCUUAUGUCUGAAAUGCAAAAAGGGAGCAGCUUUCCAAGUGAUUGGCAUUAUAUGGAUAUUAACGUUACUGCAUUAUUUUACGCUUGGAACAGGGACAGAUUUUUAAAAAGAGAAACUAAUCUAAAAUUACAACGUCAGGACUUCCCUGGUGGUCUAGUGGUUAAGAAUCCGUUUUGCAAUGCAGGGGACGCCAGUUCGAUCCCUGGUCAGGGAACUAAGAUCCCACAUGCCGCAGGGCAACUAAGCCCGUGCGCCACAACUACUGAGCUCCCGCGCCACAACUAUAGAGCCUGCGCGCUCUGCAGCCCGCACACCACAACGAAAGAUCCCGCGUGCCGCAACCAAGACCCAAC